rnacentral:misc_RNA from 1 species
GUGAAUCAUCGAAUCUUUGAACGCAUCUUGCGCUCCUUGGCAUUCCGAGGAGCACACCUGUUUGAGUGUCAUCUAGAAUUCUCAAAUCUCUCUUCUCUCUCUUCUCUCUCUUUCUCCUUGAUUGGAGAUUGAGAGUGGAGAGGAGGGUGGGAUUUGGAUGGAUGGAGGUUUUUUGUGGGCUCUCCCCCGAGUCUGCUCCUCUGAAAUGCAUUAGCAAAAACGGGCCGCGGUGGUUGUGCCGCCACCUGCUUGUGGGUUUGGCAUGAUAAAACUUCCUCUUAUCUUUAAUGCCGUGCCACA